rnacentral:sRNA from 1 species
GCGGAGGAAAAGAAACCAACAGGGAUUGCCUCAGUAACGGCGAGUGAAGCGGCAACAGCUCAAAUUUGAAAUCUGGCCCUAGGCCCGAGUUGUAAUUUGCAGAGGAUGCUUUUGGUGCGGUGCCUUCCAAGUUCCCUAGAACGGGACGCCAGAGAGGGUGAGAGCCCCGUACAGUUGGACACCAAGCCUUUGUAAAGCUCCUUCGACGAGUCGAGUAGUUUGGGAAUGCUGCUCAAAAUGGGAGGUAUAUUUCUUCUAAAGCUAAAUACCGGCCAGAGACCGAUAGCGCACAAGUAGAGUGAUCGAAAGAUGAAAAGCACUUUGAAAAGAGGGUUAAACAGCACGUGAAAUUGUUAAAAGGGAAGCGCUUGUGACCAGACUUGCGUCCGGUGAAUCACCCAGCUCUCGCGGCUGGGGCACUUCGCCGGCUCAGGCCAGCAUCAGCUCGCUGUCGGGGACAAAAGCUUCGGGAACGUAGCUCUCUUCGGGGAGUGUUAUAGCCUGUUGCAUAAUACCCUUCGGCGGGCUGAGGUACGCGCUCCGCAAGGAUGCUGGCAUAAUGGUCAUCAGCGACCCGUCUUGAAACACGGACCAAGGAGUCAACCUUAUGUGCGAGUGUUCGGGUGUCAAACCCCUACGCGUAAUGAAAGUGAACGCAGGUGAGAGCUUCGGCGCAUCAUCGACCGAUCCUGAUGUUCUCGGAUGGAUUUGAGUAAGAGCAUAUAGGGUUGGACCCGAAAGAAGGUGAACUAUGCGUGUAUAGGGUGAAGCCAGAGGAAACUCUGGUGGAGGCUCGCAGCGGUUCUGACGUGCAAAUCGAUCGUCAAAUAUGCGCAUGGGGGCGAAAGACUAAUCGAACCUUCUAGUA